rnacentral:rRNA from 1 species
GUUUGAUCAUGGCUCAGAUUGAACGCUGGCGGUAUGCUUAACACAUGCAAGUCGAACGGUAGCAGGCCUUCGGGCGCUGACGAGUGGCGGACGGGUGAGUAACGCGUAGGAAUCUGCCUCAUAGUGGGGGACAACGUGGGGAAACUCACGCUAAUACCGCAUACGCCCUACGGGGGAAAGCGGGGGAUCUUCGGACCUCGCGCUAUGAGAUGAGCCUGCGUUAGAUUAGCUAGUUGGUAGGGUAAAGGCCUACCAAGGCGACGAUCUAUAGCUGGUCUGUAGAGGACGAAUCAGCCACACUGGGACUGAGACACGGCCCAGACUCCUACGGGAGGCAGCAGUGGGGAAUAUUGGACAAUGGCGCAAGCCUGAUCCAGCAAUACCGCGUGUGUGAAGAAGGCCUUAGGGUU